rnacentral:pre_miRNA from 1 species
GGGGAGGCCGGAUCCUGGGCUGUGUCCCGGCGCCCUGUGCUCCGGAGUCUGCGCUGUUGGAUUCGCGCUCCCGGGCCGCGCAGCCCCCU